rnacentral:rRNA from 1 species
GGGCACGACACCGGAGAGGGAGCCUGAGAAACGGCUACCACAUCCAAGGAUGGCAGCAGGCGCGCAAAUUACCCAAUCCCGACACGGGGAGGUAGUGACAAUAAAUAACAAUACGGGGUUCUUUAGGAUCUCGUAAUUGGAAUGAGUACAAUUUAAAUCUCUUAACGAGGAACAAUUGGAGGGCAAGUCUGGUGCCAGCAGCCGCGGUAAUUCCAGCUCCAAUAGCGUAUAUUAAAGUUGUUGCAGUUAAAAAGCUCGUAGUUGAAUUUCGGGGUUAGUAGGUUGGUCAUGCCUCUGGUAUGUACUGGUCUCACUGAUUCCUCCUUCCUUAUGAACCGUAAUGCCAUUAAUUUGGUGUUGCGGGGAAUUUGGACUGUUACUUUGAAAAAAUUAGAGUGUUUAAAGCAAGCUAACGCUUGAAUACAUUAGNAUGGAAUAAUGAAAUAGGACGUUCGAUCUUAUUUUGUUGGUUUCUAGGAUUGACGUAAUGAUUAAUAGGGAUAGUUGGGGGCAUUAGUAUUCAAUUGUCAGAGGUGAAAUUCUUGGAUUUAUUGAAGACUAACUACUGCGAA